CAUCCCCAGCCCUAGUGGUCAUUUCUUUUAGCCCUCCACUGUAUCUCUUACAUUUAUCUUCCCUAAGGGAUCUUUGCUCCUCAGUGAGUUUUCCUGCAGGGUGAACUGCCAGCAGUUGUUUUUCAGUGUUAGAUCCUAACAAAUCGGUUCUGUUUGCAUUGGACUUUUUCGAUUCUCUGGGUUUCCCAUGGUGCUGAAGCAAGCUCUGAGAGAACCGAGGCACACGUGAGCAUCUUACCCCGCACCUUAUGGCAGCUCCAUGUGGAGUCUGAGGGCCAGUCUUCCCUUGGUUGCCACUGGUGGCAGCCUGUCCUUCGUGCUCAGCGUGCUGUGGAGCAGUGGACAGCUGCAUCAGAGGCUGGCCUGUGCCCACCCGCCAGUCCUCCCCAACUUUGCACUAAACAGCACCUCUUCGUGUUACUGCUGUCACACAGAUGCUGCAGCCAUCAGUAGGACUUGUGCUUCCGCCUCGUGGAUGAGGAAAUAAGGUGAAAUGACCUUGAGUCCCCACUGAGACUUCAUGCUGACCCACACCGGAGCUCAUCUCUGGUUCUGGUCCUGUGUGCUUUCCAGCACCCCUGCCAGCUCCAGGGCUGACCAAGCUCGCCAUCUGCCCCCAGAGCCUGUGGCUUUCAGUUGUCCAGGCCAGAGGAGGAAGUGGUGGCUCCCAUGUCCACAUUAGGUUGGUAGCUCAAAGGUCAUUUUCAUUUAGAUGAGGAGUAUGAUUUUUUGUGCUUAAAAAUCAGUUGAGGGGUGUGCACUGUUUUGGAGAUUGACAGCAGGCGCAGGGUGAGCCGCAGCGGAGCACCUGGCGUGGCCCAGGCUCCUGGCCCGGCUCGCACUGCUCCUCUGCUUUGCUCAUGGUUUCUUGGAAUAAGGCUUCUCACACAGGGACCUUGUCUUAGCUGCGUGUGUCCAGAGCCUAGCAGAGCACAUGAUACAUGUUGGCAGUUUAGGAAAAGAUCCCAGAAAGGAGAAAACACCUUUAGUUGAGAAAAAUAUCGAAUAUUGAGGGCUUUAGGCAAAGGUGAUUGGGCAGUGCCAGGUAUUUCCCUCAGUGCUAAGUCUUCUGUUUGCCAUGCUUGUUGCUAGAGCUGUACAGAUGUGUGAGAAGCUCGUGGUGGGGUAGAGAGGCUCUGAUACAGAAAUGUCAGGGGAAGGCCUGGCCACCUCUGAGCUCCCGAGUUCUUGGAAAUGCAGAGGCUUUCGGAGCAGUGAUUCCGCCCCUCCGCAUCUUUCAAAGGCUGACUCGGGAGCUUCCUCCUGGAAGUGCCUCCGUUGGUGUCUGCUCCCAGGGAACUGUGGGGAACAGUGGCUCAGUUUGUGAGAUGUCUGAGCAGAUUUUCCCAGGGUUUGCAGACUCUUUGUCAGCUGGAAAGAUCGGUGCCUCACAGUCAGUAACUACUGCUUAUUAAUGGUGCAGCCUUGGACAGUCUUCUGUCCUCUUCUGAGUCUCAGGCCGCCAUCUGUUACAUGGAAUGAUGUCUGCCUCUCCCAGGCCAGCAGUGAGGUGUCUGAGCAGGGACCCACUGCUUGGCAAGAAGUCCAGGCCUGCAGCCCAUCCGGGAGCAGCACAGGUGAAAGGCAGGGCUGGGGACAGACAGGCUCCUGGGGUUGGGAGGGCUGUGAGUACAGAGUGCUCGUUAUUUAUUUAUUUUUUUAUGAGUAGAAACUCCUGCUACAGACACAAAGCUUCAGAUAAUGCAGACAAACCAAAGGCAGAAAGAAGAACCUGAAGUCCUAUAACCUAGAGAUAAGCACCAGCCGUUUUUCUCUUCCAGGACCUUUCUAGACAACAUGGAGGGUGUUUUUGUGUUGCAUACGUGCCUAUGUGAUUCUUCUCUGUGGCCACAUGCCUUUUUCAUGGAUCUGAAGUACUGUUCUUCAUUCCCUACUGAUGAGCUCAUCAGCUAACAUGUCCCAGGUCUGUUGUCGCUUUUGCUACUACAGAUAGUGCAUUGGUGACGACCCUUGUGCAGACAUGGGUAUCAAACCCUUUCCACAAUUUACUUUGCCCAGAGUGCCAGGGGUACCCAUUGCCAGGCCUCCGACAACCCUAUAUUACCAUUUUUAAACUCUUUGCUAAUGAAUCUCAGUUUUCUCAUUUGUAUUUUAAAUUUUUUAAUCAUGAUAUUUGUCCUUCUAUAUAAGGAUCAAAACUCAUAUACUGAAAAAUGAGUUGCAAAGAUUUACUUUUUGCUUCUGUCUUUGUUCAUGAGUUAAAAACACACAAGUGCUAUUUAUUUGUAUUUAAUUUCUAGUGAGGUAAACUCCAUCCCAUGUUUGAUUGGUCAUUUAUCGUUCACAUGUGGUGAAUUGUGUAUUUCUGACAACUUUUCCCUCUUUUCUUCCUGAUUACUACAGAGCAUUGCGGGUGGAGGGGCUUCAACCCCUUAUCUUUUUCAGUCCCUGACUCUCAGAAGCAAGUGGCUCACAUGUUCACAACUCAGUUUUCCAGUAGAUCUAGGGCAGUGGUUUUUCAACCCGGCAAUUUUUCUCCCAGGGGACAUUUGGCCACGUCCAGAGACAUUUCUGACACAACUGAAGAGGGGCGGUGCCACUGGCCUCUAGGGGGCGCAAGCCAGGCAUGCUGCUCGCAUCCCACGCUGCCCAGGACUCCCUUAGCACAGGGCGCUCUGGCUGCCACUGCCAUCGCAGUGCCGUGGGCAAGAAGCCAGCCCCCCGGGUCGUGUCUACCCCUCAGGCUGCACAGAGGAGCUCCGGGACGCACUGACUUCAUUAUUUCCCUGCCCUCGCGUUCUGCGGUGCUGAAGCGCUGCUGAUUAAAUUACCCUGCCAUCCCCACGGGAUGUGUUACUUUCUCACAGGUCUCUGGCAGCCCAGCGCUGCCGCAAGGCACCAUGUUAUUGCCCUGCUACCGUGUCCUUAACGCGCCUGGAGAGCCACCGAGUGCAGAUACUGUCUUGUCUGCAGAAUGAGCUGUGGUCUAGAAACCCCUCUCUUCCCCUCCCCUCUGCGAAGGACUGGCUCCCCCAGCACGAAGGGAGUUCCAAAUGGAGUGGCUUUGUGGGUAGUGAUGAGGAAGAGGUGUGGACCUAUCAUUAUAGAUUUUAUUUAGAAUUCUAGCUUUUCUGCUAAAAAAGGUAUAAAAUACAAUCAAAUUUAAAAGGUAAUUAUAUUCUGAGGGUUUUCUUUCUAACAAGAUUUCCCUGCGUCUCUGACAUGUCAGGCUGUCACCUUCUUGGCGGGUUCUUCCCAGCUCUGCAUGUUUGCAGUUUAUCACCAUGUGGCUGCGGGUUUGCAUCCCUGUACCUGUUUGCACUCCGUUGUGUGUCUGCAAAUUUCCCAUCCAGUCUGCUUUCACACAUGAAGAGGAGCAAGUAGCCGAUGGUGUCUGACCUGAGCCCAGGACCAGAGUGGCUGUGUUCAAGGGUCUCAGGAGAACCUCAGUGAUCAUCAUGUGUACAGCUCGCAAGCUUCUGAUGUUAGAAUUGAACUUCACAUAUAUACAAUGAAAGUACAGCUUCGAACACCAUAAAGGAAUGAGUCCAGUUAUGUCAUUUGUUGGGCUUGCACUUUCUGAGGGAUCAGAUCAUCACGCCUAGAAAUGUGUUGUUUGUAAGUGGACAAACAGAAGGGCAAACAGUUCCUUCCAUCUUGGAAUUUUUUUUAUUCAUAAAUUCUAAUGCAGUGUUGAAGGUAAGUUUCUCGCCACAACACAUCCAUGUUAUUCCCAAAUCAAAAGUAGUGGUGGCUGAGUGAGAAAUCACUGUUGACAGUGAUUCAAAAUUCUAGACUAUGUUGGUUAAUGGCGGUACUGAGGAUUGAACCCAGGCAUGCGCUACCACUGAGCUACAUCCCUAGAUUUUUAAUUUUUGAGUCAGGGUCUUGCUAAUUUGCCAGAGCUGGCCUUGAACUUGAACUUGCUAUCUUUCUGCCUCAGCCUCUUGAGUCUCUGCGAUUACAGAUGUGCACCUCCAUACCCAGUUUCAUAUCUCAUAUAUUACUAAGGUGGUGUGUGCUGUGUGUGUGAUUUUUUGGGUUCUGUUCAGAUGGGACAUUUUCUUAAGCUGUAUUAGGAGGUAUCAAGACAAAUGCUGAAGAAAAUACUUCUUAUUAUAGACAUUUGAUUGGAUGCUGAUUUGGAUGGUGAGUAUGACAUGCUUCUCUGGUACGACCCUCACACUCUGGCCGUGUGUGUAUGCAUACGUGCGAACACGUAGGUGAAAAUAGCUGUAUGAGGUAUGUGAGUAGCAUCCUGAUUAAACUGACAAGAGCCCAGGCAUCAAUGACCUUGAGUACAUUGAGCUUGCUGGCUUUGGUUUCUUCAUUUGUCAGUAAUUGCUAAGAAAUCUUGCAGAUCCAAAAUUCUGACUUUCUGUUUCUCCAAAGGUCCCACCUCUGAUUAAAAACUCAAGCCCCUGUCACCUAGUUGUGGGCUAUGAUUUUCACAUGGUGAGUGGAAUUGAGUUGUUUGGACCCAUUCAUCUUAAACCAGGGUUUUCCUGCUUCUCUUUUGGAGAUUUAAACUGGGGCCAACCACUUUCUCUUCUUCCCGGAUUUCAAAUAGACAUCUUUCUCUGCUGGGACCAGCCCAUUAUGUGUUGCUACCCUGCACCUGUGAAGACAGCUGCAGCGUGUUCGCUCAUGAAAACACCUGCUUUUUUGGCAGGAAGCACGGAGCUGCCGACCCGUAGGUCACCUGAACACACUGCUGAGUUAUUUAGGUCUGCUUAACUCGGGUACCCUGAGCAUCUUGGAGUUUGCAGCAGGGCUUCUGUAGGCACACCCUCUUCCUGGAUAUGUAGUGCUCAACAAAAGGUGGCCGUUUUUCUUUUGCAUCACAUGGCACAAACCUUAAAGUGUACAAACCUACCAAAAAUUAAAUUAGGUCAAAUCAGAUUCCUAGCUCCCCAAAGAUAAACACUGAUGAAAGUUCUGAUGAUAAGUUUUGCCCAUAUUUUGCACAUUAGUGUGUAUUUUGUAUUUGUAUGUAAAUAAAGAUAGAAUCCUGCUGUACGUGUUA
rnacentral:lncRNA from 1 species